UCAAACUUGGUCAUUUAGAGGAAGUAAAAGUCGUAACAAGGUCUCCGUUGGUGAACCAGCGGAGGGAUCAUUACAGAGUUAUGAUACUCCCAACCCUUUGUGAACCAUACCGUCGUUGCCUCGGCGCAUAACCUGGCGGUCUUUUUUCCGGUACCUACCCUGGAGCUACCUACCCUGUAGAUAGCUACCCUGUAGAUAGCUACCCUGGCGCUACCUACCCUGUAGAUAGCUACCCUGGAGCUACCCGGUAGACCGCCGGCCGCGUCAAAGGACCAGUAAACUCUUGUUUUUCUACGGUGUAUGUCUGAGUUGGUACUUAAAUUCGUUAAAACUUUCAACAACGGAUCUCUUGGUUCUGGCAUCGAUGAAGAACGCAGC
rnacentral:misc_RNA from 1 species